ACUCCUACGGGAGGCAGCAGUGGGGAAUAUUGCACAAUGGGCGCAAGCCUGAUGCAGCAACGCCGCGUGAGGGACGACGGCCUUCGGGUUGUAAACCUCUUUUAGCAGGGAAGAAGCCUUCGGGUGACGGUACCUGCAGAAAAAGCGCCGGCUAACUACGUGCCAGCAGCCGCGGUAAUACGUAGGGCGCAAGCGUUAUCCGGAAUUACUGGGCGUAAAGCGCAUGCAGGCGGCCUGUUAAGUCAGAUGUGAAAGCCCGGGGCUUAACCUCGGAAUUGCAUUUGAAACUGGCAGGCUAGAGUCUUGUAGAGGGGGGUAGAAUUUCAGGUGUAGCGGUGAAAUGCGUAGAGAUCUGAAGGGAAUACCAGUGGCGAAGGCGGCCCCCUGGACAAAGACUGACGCUCAGAUGCGAAAGCGUGGGGAGCAAACAGGAUUAGAUACCCUGGUAGCGAGUAG
rnacentral:rRNA from 1 species